UUUGAGUGAAGCUCAAUUGCUUCGCAGAUCAAUGCCAAGAAUUGAAUCUGCCUCUCAAUCAGCAGCAAUGCGGCAAACUCUGCAGCUGAAGCUCUAAAUCUUUCUGUGUAGCGGGAGGAGGCGAGCUCAUCUGCCCGCAUAUAUGCAUUUAUAUCCCAUUGUCCCAAGUUGUGUGUGAAGCUGGAGGAGUUGUUCUUUGUUGAUGCCUUAGCUCGAAGCCGUUUUACAUCGUGCCAUCAUUUGUGUUACAAAUCAAGCGCUGUAGACUCAGUUUUGUUUGCUCUGUCUCUCUGUCUCUCUCUCAUUUGGUUGGAAUGUAGAAUCAUGGAAUGGCUAUGUAAAUUUAUCUUGACAGAAAGAAAUCAAACCAAAAUUUAGAAAGAAAAAAAAAAAAGUUGAAA